rnacentral:lncRNA from 1 species
AUGGAGAAUAUGCAUGAUUUUAAAUCUGUGAUAAUGUUACAUGCACCUUCAAUUUCAUCCACUUUAAAAAUUACCUUCUCAUUAAAUUUUAGUGCUUUGACUAGUUUGUUCCUUUUUGCAGUUGGUCGUAAUUCAUUUCUGGCUUCUUAUGCUUUUCUGCAAGCAGAUUUCAUUGCACUUAUUGUGUUCAUAUCAUUUUCUUGGGGAUUAUUUGUCGGACAACCAACCUGGAGUUUUGCCUCUGUGGAGUACCACCCGGGUUUUGGAAAAACAGACCUAAGGUGUUUCUGAUACUGCAGAUGGCCUAUGGUGAUCCAAUGGGAUAAAGACUCUAGGUAGGUUGUCAUUUGGUCAUAAAAUAUGAGUUAUCUUGGGUUUCCAUAGAGACAUCUAGACUUAAAAUGUUGUAAGCACUGCUUCUUUCAAAACGUCAGUAAAAACAGCAGAAGCCAAAGCUCUUGAAAAAAUUACUUAAAUCUUUUUUUAAAAGUAGUAUAGCGCCUUGUUAAAAAUCUGUGGUGAAGCCAAAGCUUGUCUUUCUCAGUGGUCCUACAUGAACUGGCCUUGAAUAGCCCCAGGGAAAAGAGACACCAGGAACUGGUUUCUCUGCCUUUUGGCAAAGGAAUAAGACUACAUUGACUUCAUCUAUGAAGACAACAGCCAACUAUUUCCUUUGUAAAUUGCUAAUUUUGUGUAGUGAGGAAAGGAGUGAUGGGCGAUGUGAUUUUUAUGGGUAAGACUGGUAUAAGUUCUGCUGAAAGUUUGACAUCUUUAGAAUCUUACAUUUUCUUCAAGUUGAACUAAUAAAACAGGCUUGUGACGAUUAUUUCUAACCUGA